rnacentral:rRNA from 1 species
CCUACGGUCGGCAGCAGUGAGGAAUAUUGGUCAAUGGCCGGAAGGCUGAACCAGCCAUGCCGCGUGAAGGUCAGUGCACUAUGGGCGUUAAACUUCUUUUGUGCGGGAGCAAUAAUGGUCACGUGUGGCCAGACGAGAGUACCGUACGAAUAAGCAUCGGCUAACUCCGUGCCAGCAGCCGCGGUAAUACGGGGGAUGCAAGCGUUAUCCGGAUUUAUUGGGUUGAAAGGGUGCGUAGGCUGGGAGGUAAGUCAGCGGGGAAAUGCCCCCGCUCAACGGGGUGAAGUGCCAUUGAGACUGCAUGGCUGGAAUGCGGAAGCGGUGGGAGGAAUGUGUGGUGUAGCGGUGAAAUGCAUAGAUAUCACACAGAACACCGAUUGCGAAGGCGGCUCACGAGUCCGCGAUUGACGCUGAUGCACGAAAGCGUGGGUAUCAAACAGGAUUAGAUACCCGAGUAGUC